rnacentral:misc_RNA from 1 species
UUCGAAAUUUUUACUUUUCUU